rnacentral:rRNA from 1 species
GUUAUAUGGUCAAGCGAAUAAGCGCACACGGUGGAUGCCUAGGCGGUCAGAGGCGAUGAAGGACGUGGUAGCCUGCGAAAGUGUCGGGGAGCUGGCAACAAGCUUUGAUCCGGCAAUGUCCGAAUGGGGAAAACCCACUGCUUCGGCAGUAUCCUGCAGUGAAUUCAUAGCUGCUGGAAGCGAACCCGGUGAACUGAAAUAUCUAAGUAACCGGAGGAAAAGAAAUCAACCGAGAUUCCCUAAGUAGUGACGAGCGAACGGGGAGCAGCCCUUAAGCUGGAAUGGCUUUAGAAAAACAAUCUGGAAAGAUUGGCCAUAGAAGGUGAUAGCCCUGUAUUUAAAAGGGCCACUCCAGUGAAGACGAGUAGGGCGGGGCACGUGAAACCCUGUCUGAAUAUGGGGGGACCAUCCUCCAAGGCUAAAUACUCCUGACCGACCGAUAGUGAACCAGUACCGUGAGGGAAAGGCGAAAAGAACCCGGAGAGGGAGUGAAAUAGAUCCUGAAACCGUGUGCGUACAAGCAGUAGGAGCUCGCAAGAGUGACUGCGUACCUUUUGAUAAUGGUCAGCGACUUACUGUUCGUUGGCAAGUCUUAACCGUAGUAAGGGGAGGCGAAGGGAAACCGAGUCUG